rnacentral:lncRNA from 1 species
UGUGCACGAAUCACUACAUGCUGACCAGGUUCGAGGUGACAUUCCUUGGGACCCCGGUGGAUCCUGAGCACGGAGAUGAGGAGAAGCAAUGGGCACACACGCGAGGAAGGGAGAAGCUGGAGCAGGCAUGAGGAUAGAGAAGCAAAAGGAGAGGAGCUGCAGUUGGUGAGGUGAUCGAGCGAGUGCUACAUCAUUUGAAGAGCCCGGUAAGCUGUUUCAUGACCCCUACUAAAAUCAUCAUCCAUCGAUACAUGCUAAAAUAAUUUGAUAUGGGUAGCUUGAGCCAUUUCUUAAAUGUUGCCACACUAAAUCUCACCUUUGGCAUAUUGAGCUUGAUGUGAAUAUGUGAACUGAUUGUUGAAUGCCAUGUAAACUAGUGAUCUACAUAUUGCUUGCUUUGCUGAAAUUAGUGAAAGCUAUUAGUUUUGAGUGCUCAAAUCCCUAGUACACUAGAAAACUUAAUCAUUUUCUGCUUUUACCUCGAUACACCUAGAUCAUUAAGUGUCAGAUGCUGAGUUUGUGCCUAAUGUGUUCCCAUUCAAAGCAAUCACUUAUCACUAUGGAUUAGCAUGCUAUGUUCUCUGGAUCGGUAGCAUGUGAACUAGACAUGGAUGAGUGAUGAUUCUUGUUUUUGUUCAUUUGAAAAAUGAAAAAAAUUAAAUAUAUCUUAUAAUGAAUAAUAAGUCUGACUACCUACAGUAGCAUGUCAUGUUCCCUGGAUCGGUGGCAUGUGAAAUCUGGUAGCUUGGACAGUAAUUAUAAUUAAAAAAACUGUAAUUGUCGAACCAGGUGUAUACCAUGUUCUCGGGAUCGGUGGUAUGUUCCUUUGGGGAGACAAACAAAAAAAAACUAAUAAUUGGUCGAGCCAGGUGUAUACCAUGUUCUCGGGAUCGGUGGUAUGUUCCUUUGGUGAGAUCGAUAAAAUAUUAUCAUUACUUCCUUCAAAUUCAAUAAGUGCUUCAACCAUAAUGUUAUGUUCCGGGUAAUAAGUUUUUUUUGGGAUCAUGCUCUCUUUAGGAACCCUUUGGCGCAAUCAACAUUUGAACUUGUUGAUCCACUUUUAUCUUUGUAAAAGUUUAAAAUGAUUGAGUUUACUAGUGUUCUAUUGCUCUGUAGCACUCUUAACCAUUGAUUUUCACUAGCUAAGUCCAAAGCAUGCAUUGUUUAGAGAUCUACUUCACUUGGACAUUCUCUAGUCAGCUCACUAUUCACUAUCCUGCUCUUGUCAUAUUCCUUUCCUCGAGGACAAGCAAAGAUUUAAGUGUGGGGGAACUUGAUAAGCACAUUUCAUAUACAUCUUUUGGCACCCAAAUAUGCGGUUUAUUGAGAUAUGUCCAUCAAUUCUUGCUGUGAAAUAUUGAAUAUUUGCAUGAAAAUCAUAUAAAGGAUCAUUUACUAGUCUUUGGUCUAUUUUGCAGAAAUGUGUGCAAAGGCACUAUAAAUCUUCAAGAUCCGGACUAAGUGGCUAAGAGAACGAAGAAGAGGAGAAGAAUGGACCCGACCGUGAAGAAAAGAAGUAACCAGAGGGGCCAAGCUAAAGUUGGAGGGAUCAUCUUGUG